rnacentral:rRNA from 1 species
UACGUAGGGUGCGAGCGUUGUCCGGAAUUACUGGGCGUAAAGAGCUCGUAGGUGGUUUGUCGCGUUGUUCGUGAAAACUCACAACUCAAUUGUGGGCGUGCGGGCGAUACGGGCAGACUGGAGUACUGCAGGGGAGACUGGAAUUCCUGGUGUAGCGGUGAAAAUGCGCAAUAUCAGGAAGAACACCCGUGGCUAAGGCGGCUCUCUAGUACGGUACUGACGCUGAGAGCGAAAAGCGUGGGGAGCGAAC